rnacentral:lncRNA from 1 species
CAGGGGCUUGAUCAGGAUUCGAGGAUGCUCCUUGGCUCUUUUGCUUCUUUCGAAGAUCAUGUCGAAUCGCUCUCUCAUACUCCUCAUAGGUCAGCCCUGGUACCACAGAGGUCGUCGCCGCAGAUGAGGGCGGAUUCCAAUUUGCUUCAUUAUCUUCUUCUUCGUCAGCGACUACUACUCGAGACCUACCCUUGUGCGAGUGGACUGACGGGGGAAGCGAUGGCUCAGGGAGGGAAGGCGCAGUGCAGACUUGGUUAAUCACGUAAUCGUUGUGGAGUGCUGUAAGUGCACAAACUUAGCCAAGUUAGCGAGUGUGAGAACAAGAAUUCGAGCAUUCACUUUAUUGAAAAACAGAUUGACUCUCUAAAAAAGGAAAAAGCUUUAGAGUCUUCUUAGGAAGCUUGCCCGCGGCCAAGAUAGGGAAUUGCUUCCGCAGAAAGGCAAGAAAAUGCGCUCGAGCAGAAGGACUCACUCUCGGUGAUUCAGGAAGACUGAAGAGCAGUCCCGGUUGGCAGCGAUCCCAGUCCUGCCUGGCGCGAGCCAUAAGAGUAGAAAUCCGCGAGGCACUCCCUAUCUCUGCCCCUUCCAUGGGGCGCAGGCCUUAGGAACGUAGGAACUUGCUGGCUAUUGAAACUAUCCUAACUUUUUUAACGGGAACUGAGUUGACUUACUAGGGGUAGGGUUGAGGAUCUAGCAUCCCAACCUGAAUUAGAGGGGAGCUCCAAUUCGAAGCGUGGCUACUAAGGAAGGCCCCUUUCCAUAUAGGGGAGAGUCUGAAAUAGUGUUUUGGAAUUCAUCGAUAUCGGAGUACAAAUUUUUCAGGUACUCUAACGGAUAGAGCUUUUUCUGUGGCAUAUUGAGAGCCAUAUAGUCUCCCGCCAAUCAAAAAUCCCCAAACAUUAUCAGGUAGACCCAGGAUCUCUAAUCUAACUGUGCGAAUCGAAUCAAAGCGUUCUCCAAUAAGGGCAUCAUGAGAUGUAGCGGUAUCUCUCCUCAGUCUAUGGUCUCAAUUGUGGGUGGGAAAAUGAAUGCUACUAUUACUCUUUUUUAGCUUGAGAACCAAUGAAAGCUGUGAAAAGAAAGAAUGGCCUAGAGGGUUUAUAUGGAUAGCAGUGCACCCAGGACGAUGUGGAAUAAAUGAGGAUAUUUAAUGUUUUAUGUUUUCUAAAGAGUCAACGUUCAACGAAGGCAAAUUAAGGGCUGCCACGUGUCCCGUGAACUGCUAUCGUAACUGGAUCUCCUACCGUCUGUCUAUCUCUUAUCGGGAAAGCACUUUUUUUUUUUAUCCUUUAGUGUAUGAUUUGACUCCACUCAAUAUAUCAUGCCCAUCAACAGACCCACUGCAGCUGUACCGGCGAAGUCAACCUAGAAUAUUCAGUCAGGUGUUUUCAAUAUGAGUACACCCGGAAAUCGGCCAGCCCUCAUCCUCUUGGGAUGCAACCUUACCCCCUCGUAACUCGUUCUACCGUACUCCAGACCCCCGCACGUCAGAAGGGUGGACUGACCGCACUGAUUGGAUUGUUUUCCUCGUCUAAGAACCGGAAGCAGGCAUUCUCUAAUCCUACCAAAUUCCCACUUUCACUCGAGCAGCAGAUAUGAGACCAGUAAGAGCGGAUUCAAGACUUUCAACCUGAUUCGGCUCGUACUCACAUUCGCCCUAAUCAAUAUAGAGCCGAUAGUAUGAAUAGGAAAGUCUAUAUUAACUAGCCAUAGGCUAUCCUAAGAACGAUCUCUAUAAUAAGGAAAAUAAGGAGUACCCUCACUCACAGAGGAUUCGAUAAGAGUCUAUUGAUUCUAGUGCACUAUCCUUAACACAGGUAAAUCGGUCUUUCUUUUUAUCAUAUGGUAUUCAUGUGGAAGAACUAGGCUAGAAAAGAAUCCCUCAUUCAUUCAUCAAUUUCAUUGCCUCUUCCCUGUCUUAGGUGUGGACGAAGACCGAGACUUCUCUAAGAUCCGAUUCGAUGGUAUAUCCCUCUUCUAUUGCUCUUAGACAGAUCUCUCACUCUUGAUGAAGAAAAAGACUUCAGCUUUAAAGAUCUGAUAUUGUCUUCACUCAUCGAUUCCUUUAAUAAGAGGAAUGCUCGAAAUGCUUGGUACUCUUUUUCUUGCUACUGGUUUAUUCCUGUCCCACUUCUGCUUUCCUCACUCCCCGCCUUAAGAGUUAUUGCUUCAAGUAAAUUUGCCUUGCUAGCUUGCCCUCUAUUAUUACUGUACAGAGCGGGGAAGAAGCACUACUGAAGGUCAUUACUGUGUUGGAUCAACUACUUCAAUUGGAGCAUUCUGGUAAGCUUGAUCCUCGGGUUAGGUUCUUUUUCAUUGGCAUGUGAUAGGGCGGGGUGGUCUACCGGUGAGAGCCAGACGGGAAAGACAUAGAUGGCACCAAUCUAAUCUCAAGAACUCUGAUUCAACCAUUUCUGUGUCGCUGACUGGGGUCUCUCCCCCUCUGGGGAAUCCAUAGAAAGCAAAACAAUUCCAUAAAGUGACAAUUUUACUGUCCGUAUUGAUUCAUUCUCUUUUUUAGUCUGAUUGUGGCAUGUGUCAUGCUCAUCUAUUCUAUAGUCAAAGCAGGAGCCUAUCCUUAGCAACGUGUCGUACCCCGAUUGUUAUCUUUGUCUUUGUGUGUGUCUGAGUGGGACCUUUCCUCAUGAAUUACCUUCUUCGAGGCAUGAUCAGGGGGGCAUACAGUUUUUUCUUCUUUUAUUUGUGUUGAUCUGAGCACCGCCCUAGCGAACUAUUGGGUUGAGGGACCCAGCCCAGACAACUUUGGAGUAGAGUCACUUCCAAUAGCUUCAGUAAAGCUCUUAAAAUACGAGAAAUAUCAAUCGGUGGAAAUUUCUGUGGUUGGUUCUUGAACCGAUUCCAUUUCAGGUUCCCCAAGACAACAAUGAAUGGACUCUUUCUGGGGAGGUUGAGGGAAGGAUAAAGCAGCUAAGGCAGGAUAUCAUUGUUGUAAGCCUCCUUCACUGCAUUAGAUUAGCGCCCUAUUGAUCGUGUCUUCGGAGGGUUGGAGAAGCGUUAAAUACUCCUUUAGGAAAGAACUCCUUGCCAUCUUUACGCCUUACAUGCGGCAUAAAUUGCAUAAAUUAAAGUAGAGGUCACAAGAUGACCUAAAGUCCAGAAAAAACCCACUCUCCCCCGGGAGUGCUUUCGAGAACACAUGCACCGGUUAUUGCAUCAACAUCUUCUACAGAUAGUUUACCAAGAAUAGCAAAGGAGAUUCCACCAAGAACUUCUAUUGCUAAAAGAGCUAAUUCAAGUGCAGUACUUACUGUAACAAGAACAACGUGAACUCAUUCUCAAGCACUUGCAGCGACAAUGUGGUAUUCUCUUCCACGCAGCCUUUUCCUGACGAAAUUUCUAGUGGGGUUUACUCUGGUAUAGGCGUGAACCAUAUUUACAGAGAAGCAAACUCUUCUGCAGAUUCUAUAGCCGGCUCCUCCCUUUCUGGUUUGCAUGUCUUUCAUUCUGAAUUGCCUCCUUUGACUCGUGCAUGCUUGCGUUUAGAUAGGUUAGAUACUUCUUAUAUUAGGAGAAUUAUUGUAAAGGAGUAGUAAGGGAGUGAAACCCCGAUCUAAUCUUACACGUGCGAGGACAGUCCUCUGAAUAGAGUCCAUUGCAUCCCACAAUAAUCGACGGGCAGCCCUCGUACAUUUAGCAUAAACCGCUGAAAACUCGAAAGUCUGUCCACUCUGAGUGGGCAGAGCCUUAUUACCUUAUUAAUAGGAGGGAUGCAAGGAAUUGAUGCUACGAAUGCCAUAGCAAGUGAAUCAGAAUAAGCCCUAGCCCAGCUACUGAUUGGAAAGGUUUAAAUAAGAGUGUGCCUAGCGUCUUUCGCUCUCUCUUAUUAGAAGAAGGAAGGGGCGCGACCCCACUCAGCUCGAAGAAGUAGCUCUUUCAACUAAUCCAUACUUUUCCUCUCCAACCAGUCAAGUGGCCCAAGGGCCACCUCAAUCUUAUUCUGUUUCCGAUCCUGCUUCAGAUUCUCUUUCAGUUGUGGAAACAAGCCCCUAUUCCUAUCGGUUGAGUAGCCCAAGCUCCUUAAAGCGUAUUGUCCCCUCUCCUGUGAAAGAAAGAGGUUGAUGCACCCAGCUACCCGAAGUAGAGCUUUCUUUGUCCCACCUUUCCUUACUGACUUUCCUAGUUUAGAUAGCGUAUUGAGAAUCAUGUCAAAAUACACCAAGACCUGGGCCCAGGUUCUCUUUCUUCAAGAAAGGGUAGCUUUAAACAACCCGGUUCCAAACACACCAAACAAGCAAGCGACUCCCCUUCCUUAGCGUACCCGUCCAUUAAGGCAUUCUUCCUUCUUGCGUAUGUGUUAUAGCUCAUAGCUCUAAGCCCCAAUUCCUUGGUGAAAAGAGCUGUCGCCUUUAAAUCAUCGAAAAAAGAAAAGAAGGAACCGCUCGAAAGGGACCACACAACAAUGGCUCAUAACUGGAAAACAUAACAACAAUGUCUCCUAGCUGCAAAAGAAUGGCUCCCAACUGAAAAUUUCUCUCGAUCACUCUCUAACAGAAAGCCAUUUUCCCUUUCGCAAAAAGUCAACUUGGACUUCUUUCCUAAGCGGAGAUUUGGACUACAUGGACCUAAGCAACCCGCCGACAGGGGCAGCCUUUCACUGUUGGAAACUUUGAUUUAGAUUGGUAGGAUUCUGUCUAAUCUUUCCUAAUUUCGAAAUUGCACUCAAUCAACAUAGUUUCCACUCAUUCCUUCUCGACCGCCUCUUUUCUAGUCACUUUUGAUCAAAUCUUUCUUGUGAUUUUCUAUUCUCUUAUGAGAAAUGGUUUGCUUCGUUUGAGCCGUCGUCGCUUAAUGCAUGUAGGGGGGCUGGGGCUUUUCCCCCACGACCCCUUUUAAAGGAGAACCAGAAGAACAACAAUGAACUCAAAGCUAAUGAAGGAGAUCCGCAACUUGAACAAGGUAGACGGGAUCUUUCCUACCCCUUUCUAUUUCGACUUCUUUGAAAGGUGAAAGAGUAAGAAGCUAGACCGACUUGCUCUUAAAUUAAAAGCAGCAAGAGCAAGUAAGUAGGCUUUUCUCCGCAAGAACAAUCUUGACUUUCUUUAUACUUUAUAAUAUAAGGCCCUUUAAACGAUCGUAAAUGGCCUGAAAUGUAACGACCUAUGAGAGAGGGGUUUUUAGAAAAGAAAGCGUACCAAUCCGGCAAACAAAGCAAAAACAACGGCUCCUACAUAAAUACAAUAGAAUAGAAAUGCUGUCUGUCACUAGCAAGUAAGUAGGCUUUUCUCCACAAGAACAAUCUUGACUUUCUUUAUACUUUAUAAUAUAAGGCCCUUUAAACGAUCGUAAAUGGCCUGAAAUGUAACGACCUAUGAGAGAGGGGUUUCUAGAAAAGAAAGCGUACCAAUCCAGCAAACAAAGCAAAAACAAUGGCUCCUACAUAAAUACAAUAAAAUAGAAAUGUUGUCUGUCACUAGAACGGACCACACAAAUAACAUCUUUCUAGCCGCCUAAAGGAAGUAUUCAAAGAUAAGAUAAGGCUAUGCGCACACAAGCUAACUUCAGGUAUGCAGUUAGUUCUCAACCGAUUCCUUCAGAUCUUAGGUGCGACCUUAGGGAGCUUGUUUUGGCAGCUACUCUCUUAUAGUUAUGUGUCCUGGUUUCUGAGUUCUAGUUCAAGGCAGGGCAGGACGGGACUCACGGGGGUUGGGGGGAGCCUUUCCCCAGGGAAACCUAAUAAAACUCAUUCUAAUACUUAAGUUCAAGAUCCUACUUCAAAGUAAGCCUAUGGGUUGUUUCGAAGCUUAGUAGCUAAAGCGUACUUGCGUGUUAUGUUAAAGGGGGUACGCGGAUUUGGGCUACUAAGUGGAACCAGACCGUGAAACUUGCCAUUUGCACUCUCCUAGGGUGCGAUCGUAGGAAGCUCUAUUACCGAAUGCAAUUCCCCGCCCGAUAAGACUGAUCAUGCCCUGCUGCUUGGCUUGGAAUCAAACUAGCCUAUCAUGCCCUUUCUUCAUUCCUAUAUGGACCCAUAUUCCUAUGUUCUUCCAAUGUUUACUGUAUUACUGGGAUUCCUAUUUACUGAACCAUAUCAAAGAAGCUACUUUCUUUCUGGCUUUUAUACCCAGGUAUAAAGGGAUAGACAGUCUAAGAGAGUGCCAAGAAAGAACAAAUACCUAUCACUUUUGGAAGGUUUGGAACCAUUUACCAAAUUCACCAGUCUGAAGUGAAGAAGUGAUCGAUUCCUUAAUCUUUAAAUUGCAAAAAUAAUGAAAUGGCUGUUUUAUUGCCAACCCAUCUCUUUCUUUCAAUCAGAUGCCAUGUGUGAAGCAUCUAUCUCUCUCAGGACCUCACCUUCGUGACCUCCUGACGGAGGAAAGACUGAUGUCAUGGUUAGCAAUCAAAUCUGGAAUCUCCGACAAAGCAUCUGAGAUCGGACAAUUGUGUAGAUGAGAGAGUGGGACGGACCUUGCUCUUAAGGGUCGAAAAAAGACCUGGUUGCUUUCUUUCCUGGGAAAGACCAGAUCUACGGUCACACUUCAAUGAGUGAGCCUCAACCUAGACAUCGAACUCCUAGCUCUUGAGCUUAUUUACUGUUGAAAAGGGUACUGUUCGUAGCUUGGCCUUUUUCGAUUUCCUAUUUAGCGCUUUGAAUUCUUCUGCUGUUCCUGCCUAGCGUUGAGGCCAUAGGGCUUCCUUGUAAAUAAGUUCGAAUUAGAAUAAAGUAACGGUUCGGGAGAGCCUAUGCGGAAGCCUUUUUUUUCUUCUUCAGCUUGCUUUCCUGCGUCUCUUACGAUGGCUUGCUUGCUAACGUAACGAGCAGAGGUAGGGCGCCUAGUCGGAAAAGCCGUAAUCAGGUUACCCGAGAUAGAAUAGGGCUCAGUGCAAUAGUAAAUCUAGUAAAUAUAAUAAGAGAAGAAUUAGCGUAAGAAAAGCCUAGCCUUUCCCUUACCGACGAGUGAGUACCCUUUUUUCUCUUUUUAGUUGAGUUGGUGUUCAAUGUGCCCCGUGGGUACAAACAAGAUUGAAAGGGUCAACAAUCCCUUACUUUAGUAAGCAACCUCAGUUCCCUUACUUGUUAAAGUAAGCAAGUCAACUCUCUUACUUGUUCUUGUAAGCUAUUUCUUUCCCGUACUUUAGUAAGUAAGCAUGUAAAUGACUAUCUCUCUGCAGAUAAAAGACUAGAGUAGGCCCCAUAGAGAUGUUGACAUUCGGGUUCACUGAUCUUGAAAAACUAACGGAGAUAAGGUCGAUAGCUUGCUUUCUCAUGAAAGUACAGAAGAAGGUCGCUGAGGUAGAGUCCAUAGGCAAACUUCUUAGGAUGUCUUUGCCCCUGGUUCCUUUUGAAGACCCAUAGUAGCCGCAAAGCACCAUUCUGCGCACUCAGAAUAAAAGAGUGAAUUUCCACAAUUAGUUUCUGUCUAUGACAAAGUGUCUAUGAACAUUAAAAAUCUCCUUUCUACGGCUUACAACUUUCAUCGCCCUUAUAUUUAGCUCUCCAAAGAGCAAUUCUUCUCAAAAGGUGCUGACCAUUCUAAACAUGGCUUCAAAGUUAUUCUUUCUAAGCGCGGAUUUAGUGGAUUAACUGUUCCACCUUCCUUCUACUAGUUGAACUGUGCCACCUUCCUUCUACUAGUUGAUUUAAGCGCAUCAACCGUAAAGAAAGUGACGAACUAUUCUCUAGCAGCAGCAGGGGCAAGCCUAAACAUCUACACCUUCCAUGGGAAUUUAGGAAGAAUUCCAUUUCCUUAAGGAAUCAGUCCCAAGAGCGGCUACGACUACGAGAGCAGUUACCCUUCUAACCUUAACACCGGUUACGUCCUUCUUCUGUCAUCGGGGAUGGGAACCUUGGUAGGAAUGUUGGAGGGUUCUCGGCAGGUAGGUUUGAUGCUAGCCUUGUUGCCUUGGCAUUGGCUGAUUCAAGACAUCCUCGCAAAGGCGCCAUCUUUCUUAAGUGACUUUUAUAGACCUCUUUUUCUAAAAUACGAUAAUUUCGUUUUUGAGACCACUGCGAUAAAUGAGCUUUUGAGACUCCGUUUUGUUAACAACAGGUACUCUUUCUGCCUUACUUUAACAAGUAAGCAAGUAAACUACCUUCACGGUAAAGGAUCAUCUGUCCUAUGAAAACUCAUAGCCUCGAUAGUGGUCUAAGGCAAGAAAGUAUGAUCCGUCACGUGUGCCAAGGAGAUGUCGAUUGACAUUGAAUUCUCUCCUCUUGUUUUAAUAUGAAUUGACUCUGCUUCGGUCACUUUCUUCGUAGGUCCUUAAGCAACUCCUCUUGUCACUAGUCACUAUGCCCGAAGGUUAGCAAGCCUGUCUCUUGAUAUAAAUAGUCAUUCCUUUCUUUCCUUUGUUAGAGAAUCACCUAAGACCGCUAAUGUUCCAUCUAAUUCAAGAACAAGCCCUUCUCAAUGUCUUGCCUUUCGCAUGUGUUUUCUUUGAAAUUGGAAUUCCAACCAAGUUCCCUUCCCAAAGCGGGAACAAGUUGGUGCGACCGAUUAAAGAAGAAGGACAACUCGCAAUGGUACUAGGGCUAGUUGGAAAGCCUUUCAAGCCAAUCUCUUGAUUCACAUGAAUGUGAAACCGUUGCAACCGAUCCUGCAUACCAAUCAUCCGCCGCUUAAAGUAAUGGCCAAGGUUUCUAUGGAUUCAGUCCUGUGGAAAAAUAGUGUUGUGGGCAAUUCAGUGUGUAGUGUCACCCCUGGGACACUAGCGAGUCCGUCCCUAAAAAUUAGGUCCAUGAAGCCAGAGUGCUGUCGCACUAAACGACUACCCUUCCUUAGAUACUCCAAGCCACAAUCUGUAUUGUCCUUGAACCUAGACCAUGGAAGGUUGGUUAUAGUCCCAUUCUAUUAGUGGGAUCCAUAGCCCGCGGGUCUUUCCCAAGCCAGCAAAGAAGAAGGUAGUCUAGGACUACCCUAAGCCUAGAAGAGAAGUAGGCAGGACUUUCAGUUACAAUGUCUAGGUUGGGCAAGCCGCCUUUCGCCUUUCUAAAGCCAAUCGAUUAUCGGAUUUCACCAAGCCAACUACCACUACCUGGGGAUUUCUAGAUCCGCUCUAAGAUAGCAUUAAGAUUCCAAACUCCAUGAAAGAAGGAGAUUGAUUAGCUAUAGUCAAAUCUCGUGACGGUGAUCAAAGAGCAUUAGCUACGAUACUACAAUCUCUGCUCCUGAUCCCCAGAUCGAAACGUUACGAUUCACUCUGGUGCUACUUUCUGGUGGAGGUUGGGAGUAUCUCAACUACGAAUAAGAAGUCGAAGAAGCCCUAGAUCCGCCUCUUACUUACCUACCUUCCCAGACUAGCUAGUCAGGGCGAAGCAUUCGUCAGCAUUAGUAGUUUUGGCACAAUAGACUCAUGAGAUGUGACCUCAUGAUGGGUCGAUGGGAAUGGCUCGUCAUCGUGCAUUCAAUUAAUUUCCCUUGGAAAUAUUGGAAACGAUGGUCAAGGUUUGCCAUAAAUAAACAAAUGAGUUCGAUUCAAGCAUUCGAACAAGAAUACGGUUCAGAUACCCCAAACAAGAAGCCACUUAGGAUUUUUGCUUUUUCUAUCCCGGAGGGUGGGUCUCGUGACAACGCCUUCCUCUGCAGUCUCUAUUCGUAGGAAUAGAAUAGUCCAAGUAAUUGCGUCUAUCACUGAAGGCAGCCAAGAGUCACUCAGGGCUAUUGUACUUGUACUACUCAACUGUUAUAGUCCAUUAGAGUGUUUGAAAUCCAUAACUAAAGUCGCUGUACGGAGCAGUAGGCUUGAGUUAUAGUCCGUAUCCCGUACUACUUGUCUGGAGUAGAAAAGAGUGUGAUCUCAGUUUCCUAUCAAGUCAAAGGGAGACCACGAGGGUCUUCCUUAUGGUNNNNNNNNNNNNNNNNNNNNNNNNNNNNNNNNNNNNNNNNNNNNNNNNNNNNNNNNNNNNNNNNNNNNNNNNNNNNNNNNNNNNNNNNNNNNNNNNNNNNNNNNNNNNNNNNNNNNNNNNNNNNNNNNNNNNNNNNNNNNNNNNNNNNNNNNNNNNNNNNNNNNNNNNNNNNNNNNNNNNNNNNNNNNNNNNNNNNNNNNNNNNNNNNNNNNNNNNNNNNNNNNNNNNNNNNNNNNNNNNNNNNNNNNNNNNNNNNNNNNNNNNNNNNNNNNNNNNNNNNNNNNNNNNNNNNNNNNNNUGUUGGAUUCACGUUACAUGUUUUAUCCAUUGUUAAAAAACAACAGUAGCAGAUAUAUCCAGAUGAAAAAUUCAACUAAAAAAUAACAACAUUAAAAAAAAUAACAAAAAACAUAAAAAAAUAACAAACACCAACAAAUCAAGUUCCUCAUUUUCGUCAUAACUUAAAAGCCCUAAUUUUUAACUUGUGAAAAUCGAAAAGAAACGAUGUAGAACUCGAAGUUAUGGUCACCGGAGAAUGUUGCCACGUCGACUAACGGUUGAAAGUAAAAAAGGAACAGGCAAGAACUCAAAACUAUUUGUUGCCAGAGAUUGAAGUUGCACAAGAUUGAAGGGUGAAAUUUGAAAAGUUGUUGGUUGGGAGAAGUUAGAGAGAGAAACUAUCGAGAGAAAGAGAGAAGAGAGAGAGAGAUUGAUUUGCAGAGGGAGGAAAGUUCUGUGAGUGUGGCUUAAUUUGUAUUUUUAAAAAGAUUAAAAAGUUUAAAAAAUAUUAAUCAAAUCCACAAUUAACCUAAUCAAGUUUUUUAAUUAUGUUUGACCCUUUAAAUUAGUCAGUGUCACCAAUCCUUCAUUCAAGACUUAAAAGACAUCUUUCCUUCAAUUUUCUCAUGUAUCCUUUCUUUGAAGAAAAGCCCAAAUCAAUAUUAAUCUAUAAAUAAAAUAAAACACACUGUAAUCUAACUCGUGGAUCCAACCCAAAAAAAGUACACAAAUAAAUAUAACCCUCUCUUAGUUUUGUUGAUCGAAUUUUUUCAAUAAAUAAAUAUACUUCUCUUUUAACGUACAGAACUUGUAAGUUGCUUACAAAUAAGCAAAUAGUAAAAUUGAAAAGGAUAACACAGAAAUAUGAAACUAGAGGAAAUAUUUAUUACAAACGUUGCUCCUGUUUCAGUUACGUUCAAGUUUUAAAAUUUGAAAUACAAUUCUAUGUGCAUCUAGAUUCUAGAAUCAGUGGAUAAACUUUCUAAGCAAACGACAUGAUGAAAAAAAUCUAUAUAUCCAAAUUGUAUAUAAAGACAUAGGAAUGAAAAUAUGUCAAGGUUGACACAUACGAAGACAUCUUAACUCAAUCAUCCAGAGAGAUAUCCAAUGAGCCUAAUUUGUUGCAUUUGGCCGCUAAGUGUCACUUUUCAUGAUCUUUACACUGAUGUAGAUACACGAACUGAGGGAGGAGUGUAUUUAUUUGUCAUUGCAAUGAUGCAAAUCCAUUUUCCAGGAGUUAUAUGCACUAUAAAUAUCUAGUGGCUUAAUCUCGUUAGAAAAAUUUGAUCAACGAAAUUGAGGGGAUAUAUUUGUUUGUCUUUUUUGUGAUUUGAGUCGGAUUGGGCGGAUUAGAUUAAAGUAUAUUUUAUUUUUAAAAAAAUUAGGGCAUUUAAUGUUGACUUGGACUUUUCUGUUAAAGGAAGGGUGCAUGUGAAAAGUUUUUUUACAACAACGGUAAUUUAGUCCCAAAAAUAUGACAUCAAGAAAAUUUUUGCCCCAAAGUAUGACCAAGUAGAGAGUAAAUUUGACUCUAAAUAUAACAGUGAGAGUAAAUUUAUCCAAAAUAUGACAAAUGAUAUAUUUAGCCAAUUUUACAAAGUAGAGGAAUAAACUUGACACUUUUUCCUAUUAUUAAACCUCUAUUUCUAUCACCUUUCAAAAUAUCCCUUAUUGGAGGCCUCUCAAAAUAACAUAGUGCCCCCUGUUAGAAUAUUACUUUUAUAAGGUCCGUGCUAAGUUCGGACCUAAACUUAAAUAAUUUAAUAUUUUAUAUAAUACUAUGAUUAAAUAUAUAAAAUAAUUACAACUCAAAAAGAUCAUAAUUUCAAGUGGCAAGAAUUUAAGUUAGUUAAUAUAAUAAUUUAAACUUAAUUUUACGUAUAUUUUAAUUAAGAAAAAAGAAACUAAAUUCAUCAAAAUGAAACUUGAGAAUCUAUUAGUUCUUCAUAUUUAGUUUAUGCCUAAAAUAUUAAUUCUCUAUUAAUUAGAAAUGAUAUUUUAAAAAUAAUAUGAUCUUAAUUGAUAUCAUUACAUAUUCACUUUUAACUUUAUCAAUAAUUUCAACUUUCAAUAUUAAAACAUUCUAUUAAUAAUUUCAAAAGCAAAAUAAAAUAAUCCAUAAAUUUUUUAUUCAAUUCAUAAAAAGAAAUUGGAAAUAUUGAGAACGAAACUCAGUUCAUUAGAACUAAAUAUAACAUUAUACAAUUAGCUAAAAAUUAUCGAUUAGUUAAUUAACAAGGGAAUCUAAGUAAUUCAGUUGAUUGUCAGCCUGAACUCUCACUUUUUCGGUGAAGGUUUGAUUCCCUACUUUGUAAUUUCCUUCCUAUUUUUUUUUUAAAUAAUUAAACAAUUAAAAAAUCAAGAAAAAACUCAAUAAUAAUUUCUUAUAAUAUGACACACCACAUUCAAAGUCCAUUUGACAAACAAAGAAACAAAAUAGUUUUAUUUAUAUCAACUACAUGUUAUAAUUUUAGUAGAUUAACGAAUUAGCUGAAAUUACUAAAGUAACUUUGUGAGGAUUACCAAAAUUCAUUAUCCUCUCUUAUGUAUAAUAGCAAAUUAAAAAAAAUUAAAAUAGUAGAAAUGAAAAAUAAAUUAAAAUAAAAAAUAAUAAAAAUAGAAAUAAGAGGAAGAAAUUUAAAAGUAACCAGUAUCAAUAAUUCAAAGAUCCCCCUGAGAAUUGGAGAGGUAAUUAUUCCUUGCAAUUACACCCAACCAAUUAAUUAUCUAACCAACCAAAUAUAUCAGCCCUAGUAUAUUUACACCAAUUUACAGCAAAUCCAAUUCCUUGAGUGGCUUUCCAACCCGGCCCAAAAUAUUCGAUGAUCAUCCAAAAUAAUUUCAUGUAUGACGUGACCCUUUUUCUGCAUCAUAUAUAUAAUAGGCUGCUUCAUGUUUACUCCAUUAGAGAAGUGAUUCAAAUUUCUAUAUCAGGUUCAUACUUUUGCCUAUCAGCACACUUCUCAGAAUGAACUGGUGGUGGUCAAGAUCUAUCAAUACUGCACUGCAGGUAAAAACAAAUUGAUCAGACAAUAUCACAAAACAAACUCUAUUUUCGAACAUAAUUCUGUAAUUUCUGCUAAGUAUUUAUUUCUGCUAAGUAUUUCAAUAUUCUAGAUCAAACAUUUACAAAUUGUGUGUCAAAAACAUUUGGUUCACAGAAAAAUGUUGAGUAUUGUGGAACACAUCAAAGCUACCAAAAUGUUGGCCUGGUUAUUGGAGUCACUGGUGUAGUUGGCAACAGCUUGGCCGAAACACUCUCAUCCACCGACACCCCGGGCGGUCCGUGGAAGGUCUAUGGUGUGUCACGGGGGACACCAGUCUAUAGAAUUGCAAAUGUUAGAUAUAUUCAGUGCAACGUAUCUGUGUCAACUGAUGUACAAUCCAAGUUAUCGACCCUUAAAGAUGUGACACACAUCUUUUGGGUGACUUCGGCUUACGACCUUUCCAAGGCCAAAUGCUGCGAAAUCAAUGGAGCCAUGUUACGCAAUGUCCUUAAGGCUGUCAUACCAAAUGCACCUAACUUGCGCCACAUCUGUCUCCAGACGGGCGCAAAGCAUUAUGUGAAGAUGCAAAGAUCGAUUGAUGGGAAACUUCAUGUUAUUUCUCAUGAUCCACCUUUCACCGAGGACAUGGAAAGACUGGAGAACAGCCACAACUUUUAUUACACGUUAGAAGAUGUACUAUUCGACGAGGUCUCUAGAAAAUCAAGCCUAACGUGGUCCAUCCACAGGCCUGAUCUAAUUUUUGGGUUUUCACCUCAUAGCACGUUGAACAUUGUUGGAACACUUUGCGUGUAUGCAACAAUAUGCAAACACGAAGGUAUUCCACUGAAAUUUCCAGGGACAAAAGACACUUGGGAUAGUUACUUUAACGCAUCAGAUGCUAAUUUGGUGGCAGAGCAUCAAAUUUGGGCAGCAGUUAGUCCACAAGGGAAAAACAAAGCAUUCAACAUUACCAACGGCGACGUGUUCAAAUGGAAGCAUUUAUGGAAGGUGUUGGCUGAACAAAUCGGAGUAGAAUACGUGGGAUUCGACGAGACAGAAAAGAUUAUUUCCUUAUCUGAGAUGAUGAAGGAUAAGGGGACUGUGUGGGAGAAGAUUGUGAGAGACAAUAACUUGAUAUCCACAGCAUUACAAGAGGUUGGCUUGUGGGCAUUUGCAAAUAUGUUACUGGCUGAAUGGACUAGUAGGUUGUGCAGCAUAAAUCGUAGCAAAGAGCAUGGUUUCAUUGGCUUCAGAAAUUCCAUCAACUCCUUCAUUUUCUGGAUACAGAAAGCAAAAGAUAGUAGAUUAAUUCCAUGAAUUUUGUGUUUUUUCACUUCAUCAUUAAUAAAAUAAUUUGGAUCUAAGUCUUUUUUUCCAUACAUUGUCAAGAUGAUAUAUAUAUGACCUGUUAUAUAACAUGUCAGUUAGACAGUCACCUUAUUCUCUCGGUUACAUGUUCAAAUUUCAAUAACAAUUACUUGUAGUGAUCUUUUACAUAAUGUGAUAAUGUAUAUUAGCUUAAUUCCUAGUAUAAAGAUUAUCUUAGUUUGUUAAUUUAGUUACUGCUAAAGUCUGUAUAUGUAGGUUUGGGUAGAUGUUUGAACUUUCCUUUAUAGGAAUAAUGAAAUUAGAGUUUAGGUGUCACAUUUCUCACCAAGCCUAUCUACAUUUUUACUUGGCGAGGCUUAAUAUUUCACUUAAUGUUCAAAUGUUGUGUGUCGUGAGGACCAUUAAGGACCGAACUAAAUAGCCCUUAGAUGCUAGGUACAAUUAAUUUCUACUUUGGUACAGUAUUAUAUUUGAUAUUUGACGUUUUGAUAUUAGUGAAUUGGAGUAGUACCUAUAAUGUAGUUGUAGUAAAAGUCCAAGAAAACGCUUGCCUAAUCUAAAGGAAAUACUGGAGCAGUACAAACAUGUAAAAGCUCAAGGUCUGAAAGUUGGCUUAUGGUGUUCAGUGGCGGGCUCGGGAUUUAGGGGGCGUGGUUGCCCAAGAAGUUAUAUCGAGGCUCAAAGCUUUAAGGUUCCGUCUGGAAACUAAAACACAAAAAUCAAAGCACAUAUAUCUUCUUGGUUUUGCUUUUCUAAAUCUUAUAUAUCAAUUUUUAUACAUUUUUCCAUAGUUAUACCAAAUCUGUGUUAGAUUUAACGGGAAACACAACAAAAUGGCAUGUAGGUCCGCCCCUGAUGGUGUCACGCGAUAAAUAAAUAAAAUCAAAACAAAAAAGCAUGGAAUAAAUCAAACUUUCAAUUUUCAGCUCUUUCUAGUGUGUUGGGAUAAUUAGGAUUUCUUCGUCCUUAAGGCUUAAUAGAAGUUUUUAGAACAAACUUUUGGAAAGGAAAAUUUCUUGAUGGUAAAUGCUUAUAUAUGAUGCUAAGAUGCUCGGUUCUUUAGAUGGUGCUAUUAUGUGAAAAGAACUCCAAUUUUUACAAAGAUUCUCUAUAUUUCGUUACCAUCGACCCGAGCCUAUGCAAAACAUGUCUCCACCCUAAAAUAGCUCCGAGCCAAGCUUAGUUAUUCGUGAACGAGAACUUGUUUUGCUGGUUGGCUUAGUGGAUCUCACUCAACGUAUAUCGGAAUUAUUUGUGUUUGUGAUCACCAAUAGAGAUUGAUUUGCACAAAACAGGAUCUUUCAGUGCUACUGUUUAAAUAAGUUUUAUAAAAAUAACUUGUGAGUCAGAACUUAACAAGUAUCGUAAGAAUUUAGCCAGAAGCAUUGUCAAAAUUUUGAAGAGAUGGACAAAGACUUGCCUCGUCACAAGUCUUGGCGGAUCAUUUUAGUCCCGCCAGUUUGUUACCUCUGUUCCAACUCUUUCCAUAAUUCUACUGCAGUUUGAGAAUGGGCGGUCCAUACGAUACACUAUAUCCUCGUAUGGAAUAAAAAGUAAAAACGUUUUGGUAAACUUCUAGGUAAGUUAUGGUAAUCGUCAGGAUUUUGCCCACAAAUUCGCUAGCAUUUCAACCACAAAUGUUGAGAAAGAUCCUGGAGAUUUUGUCAGGAUUUGAUUGUUAAGGCAAGUCUCGGCCAUUGUCAAAUAAGAAAAUUGUAACAAAUGCUAAACACGAGAGCAAACAAAGAAUAUGGAAAGUUCAAUAGCAUAUUACAAAAUGGAAAUAUGGUAGCAAUAGAAUAACUAAGACACAAUCAACAAGAAGGAUAGAAUUAGAGAGGAAGAAGCCAAAGAAGGAGAUGAGAGGAUUCACAUUCUUCGUAACAAUUUGCAUAAACCUAUUUUGCUCGCACAAGUACCGACAUUAAAAACCUGAAUCCCAAACAUAGACACUUAAUUCGAUGUUGGGUUGCCACCCUGUCAAUACUAGUCCAUUCGUAACAGAAAUCAUGACAACUUUGUGCUCCAGAUUAUGGAGAACAAAUUAGUUUUUCGUUACGAUACCAUAAAUUGUUGGUAAGGUAAGUGUCGUCGAAAAUCAAACAAGAAAUCUUCAUUUAUGUUAUACAUGGUACUAAAAGAAAUGGUUACUCCAGAUGCCCUUAUUUGGUUAUUAAAUUUUCAUUUGGUAGUUAAUAAUUAAUUAAUUCUUUCGUAUUAAGCUUAAAUAUUUUGACAACUGAUCACUGCCAAAUUGACAAGAUCUCACAUAACAAUUACUAGUAUUUGAGAAUAAAUUGGGUAAUUAAAAGAAAAAAUUACAGAAACUAGUAUCCUUAAGACUAUAAUUACAAUAAAUAGCAACACUUUUUCAAAAUUAUAACUUAUAGCAAAAAUAGCAAUAUUUUACCCACUUCAUAAUAAUAGAAGAAUGUGUAUUUUUCAGUUGUGCAUAUGUAUUUAUAUAACAACAUUUUACUUAAAUACAAAUACAAAUUGCUAUUUUUCGUAAUUAUAAAACUGUUGUUAUAAAAGUUAUAAGACGAGUCCAAAGGAGAAGAAAAGAUGAAAUAGAAGUCCAAAAACCUCAACCAACAAGCCCAUAAGUUAAACUAGGAAAGGAACCCCAUAUCAAAUUUGGCACUCUAUGAUAGCGUGGCUAAAUAAAGGUUAACUGAGCGUGGCUAAAUAAAGGUUAACUGACAUAAAUCUCGAAUCUUUAAUGGGUUGUAAUAUUUUUUAUUAUAAUUUUAUUAAAUUACAAAAUUUUGAAUUUUAUUUUUUGUAAUAUCUAUCUUUAUCCUUGAGACAUAUGCAUUGUGAUAUAUUAAUAAUUAAGUGGUUAAUUAAAUAUGAAAGUGACUGAUUUUUAAUUGUUACGGAGAGUAAAUCAAACGAAAAUCGUGGUAUAAAUACAUCUUAUUCGGAUGUAUCAUUCCAGAUGUAUCAUGAUGAUACAUCUUGUAAAAAUUACUCAAUACUAAUUCAAACGUAUCAUUCACAUCUAUUACCAAUAUACUUACAUCAAAUACAUCACUCAUAUGCAUCACCAUUUAUAGUAGGAAAAUAUAUCAAGAAAUUAACAACACUAUAUAUGUAUUGUAGACAAAUAAUUUUUUACCCUCCCAAAUUUAAUAUAUAUUUCUAUAUUAAAUAUCUAUAUUUGAUCCGAUAUAAUUUUAACUCUUAUUUCAUCUUUAAAAAGUUUUAGUUGAAAAUAAAUAAAUAAAGUUACAUUUUAAGAUUUUUUUUUUAAAAAAAAAAUGAAAAUUUUUCAAAAAAAUAUUUUCUCUUAAUUUAGAUUUUUAUAAAUAAGCUAGUAAUUUUAUUUUCUCUUAAUUAUAUUUUACUUUAAGUUAGUUAUAUUUUUAUAUAUAUUUUUCUUACGUAUAAAAAUUAAUUAGUUAAUAUUUUUUCUUAUUAUUAGCAUUAUUUAUUUUUAUAUAACUUAUUUAUAUAUUAAAUAAUUAGAUCAUUAUCCUAUAUAAAAAAUAAAAAAAAUUUAAAAUUAAAAUCCUAAACCGCUCCCUCCAAAAUUCUUCUAUUUAAGGACUCCCCAACCCUAGAAAAUAAACGUACAUAAAAACAAUCAGACUUUGACAAAAAAAAACCAAGAACUUGAGAAAAAAAAGAGAGAGGGAAAAAACCAGAGAAAGAAAAAAAAAACACCAAACAAAAGAGACAAAGAAGAAAGAAUUCGAAAUUCAAGCUUCAGAAAUUCGUUCGAAUUUUUAGAGCCGAUUGUUUCUUGCAUUAUUAACUAAUUCAAGUAAUUACAUGUUUUUUUUCAAUCUUGAAUUAUUUUAUGUUAUAAGUUUACUGAAAUAUGAAGGAAAAUAUUCAAGUAAUUUUAUGCACUAUUCUGUCUAUAGUUGAUUGAUUAUAUGAAUUAUUAUUACAACAUGUUAUACAAUGAUGUUACUGAAUGUUGAUAUAUUUGAUAUAUUUGUACACGAAAAAAAGUUUUAAAUUUACACACUGUAAACAAUUACACAAAAACCAGUCACACAUAUUUUUAUUUUUCUAUUCACCACAUAACAUUCACUAGAAUUGAUGUGCACUCCCACACACCCUUCUCCCUUUUCUAUUUUUUUUUUUUUUACCAACAAUGCACACACCAUACACGCAACAAUGUAAAAAAUAAAGAGAAAGAAGGAAAAAUUCAGUAGAAAAAAAUGGAGAGAAGAAAGUAAAAAUAGUGAUAGAAUUGAGAGAAAGAAAUGCAGAGAAAGGGAGAAAAACAGAAUUUCAAGCCGGACAUCGUUUUAAUUUUUCGGCAAGCUUUCACCGGAAUUUCCAUUUUUUCCGGCGACUAAAUAGUCUGAAACCACCAGAUCUCCAUCCCCCAUCACAAAAUACCACCGAUCCACACCCCUACGUGCCGACACCACCAUCACUAGUCACGACGUCACCACUGGUCGGCGCACAAUCCGGCAAACCAACCAUGACCACCGUUGUAUUCCCUUUCCUCAACUCCGGAGACCUUCAGCCGAACCAACGUCGCCGGAAACCACCCCAAAAACUCGCUAGCGCCUUCCCGAUCCUCCCUUCCCUUUCCCGUCACCGGAACCACUAUCUUCUCCGGCCCACACCAUCAUUAAAAAACAUCGCGGUUCCAUCUUCCGUCUCUCCAUCAACCAACUCCGGCCAGUAACUAAUAAAUCUGGCCGAAAUUUACCCGUUUCCUUACACAACUUUUUUUUGAAAUCGUUAGUAUCAUUGUGUCUCCGUUUAUGUUUUGUCAUAUUAGUCGCGUAACUUUAAUGUGGAAAAAGAAAAACGUGGGAUUAUUAAAUAUCAGAUGUUACUAAUUAAAAUAGUAAAGUAGUAGAUAUAAAUUAAUAAAAAAUAAAAAAAAUCUUUAUUAUUUCGAUUUUAAAAUUAUAAAAUAUACUUAUGACUUUAGGAAGUUAUAUUAUUUUUAUUAUCCUUUCACGAAGUUUGACAAUUAUUUAUUAGUUGAUUAAUAGAAAUUAAAGUUACAGUUAUUCGAUUGCAAAUUCAUUCACGUGAAUGUUAUAGAAUCAAAUUUUGAAAAAUAUUAAAAGGGUUAAUUUGUUGGAACACUUGUUACAUCAAAUAUAUUAAAGUAAUUUUCAAGACAAUAAAGUUUGUUAUGAAUUAUUACGAAUUUAAAAAAAAAAAUCAAUGUUUUUAAUAUCAAAUAAAUUUUAGUCAUGGUUUUAAUUUUUUCUCUCGAUUAAGAAUGCGGCCUACGCAUCAUUUUUGAGACGUUUAAAAUUUAAGGAUAUAAUAAUGUACCUUGACAAAUAUUUUUACUAAAAAAUUAAUUUUUCAUCGAUUUUAUACAAAAGUUUUAAAUUAGUUUCAGUAUAUUAAAAUGAGUGAAUUUAGGCCUUGACAUAAUUUAUAAAAAUAAUUUAAAUCAAGAUAAGUCAAUAAAAGCGAUCGUGCUAGAACCACGGGACUCGAGGGGUGCCUCACCUUCCCCUCGGCCAACAGAAUUCCUUAUCCGGUCUUCUGUUUUCGCAGACCACAACAAAGAGUCAUUUCCUUUUGAUUAAGGAUUCAAUAAGGUGACUUGGAACACUAUAACUCAAAUUCAAGUGGCGACUCUAUAAUUAAAAUAAUUCCUACUCAAAACCGUCACUUUAAUUGGAAAAACCCUUCGACCCGAAGCCUCACGCGGAAAAGGGGUGUGACAUGUAUCAAGCGUAUUAACCAAAAAUAUAUGUAUGAACGUCAAAUUAAUAGAGAUUUUAGCUAUGAAAUUUUUUAACUUCUAUAGCAUGAAGAUUUUUUAAAAGAAUAUGAAUACUUGUCAACAUGAAACACAAUAAAACUUUUAAAAUUUUCAUGAAAAAAUUAAUAGAGAUGGCAAAAUUUUUAAUAAGAUUUGAUGAAAAAAUUUUAAUUUAACUUUUUUUAGAUAUGUAAGGGAUUUUCUCUCAUUAUUUACUCUUCUAAAAUAAAUGUAAAUCUGUUACUUCCUUAUUUAAUACUACUUGCAUAAGGUCCGCGUUAAGCUCGGGUCCAAGUUCAUGAUAAAGAAUAUAAAAUUUAAUUUUAGAAAAAAUAUAACUUAAAUUACAAUUUUUUAUUACAUAAUUAAUUUAAUGCUACAUUGAUUAUGUCUUGUCUAGUAAACUACUAUGGUUAUUAAAGUCUUUUCGUUAUAUUUGGAUAAUUUUUAAAGGACUUUAUUUAUGAAAAAAGGAAGUAUGAAGGAUAAUUACCAAAUAUGAAUAGACAUAAAAUUUAAUUUAAAAUAAAUAAGUGAUGUGUUCAAUGUGUUUAAAAAAAAAUAAUAUUUGAUAGAUUGUUGGAAAAAUAUUUUUUCUAGAAAAUAAGUCCUUUUAGACUUAUGAAAAUGACUUUAUGGAAGUAGAAAGUUUAUAUUUUUUACAUUUCACAUUCAUUGAGCCCUUCGCUCUUGAGUACACCUUAUUUUCACCCCACCAUAGCUUCCAUCCCUACCACUCCAUACCUUAUCUCUCAUAGUAUUUAUCUAAAUUAUAUAAAAAUAAUUUUUAAAUAAUAUUACUUACAUUCCGGGUAUAAGAAAAUAAAUAAGAAACACACUAAUUUUUUUUAAAAAAAAAACUUUAAAGUAAUAUUUUUAAUUGAACAAACGAUUGUACCAAAUACACACGAAAAAAGAAUAAGUAUUAUUAAAAAUAAUAAAUGCUCUGAUUGAAAGUGAGACUAUAACUUCAAAGUUGCACAAAUUUUACUAAAAUGUAAAAAGAUAAAUUAUGAUUUGAAAGUAUAUGAUUGACAACAAUUAUGUUGUAUAGUUACUUAAUAAUAAGAGUAAUAGUGAAAGAAAAUUAUAAAUCUUUCUUUAUUUGCUAAAAUAAUAAGCAAAAAAAGAGUACUCUUUUAAGAAAAUUUUACUUUUAGUACAAGGAUCAAGCAAAAUUAAAAAAAUAAUAAUAAUAAAAAAAAGGUAUUCUCUUAAUUCCUUCUUACUUGUUUCUUUGACUUGACAAAUAACUUAAGAAUUCAAUAUAUUAAGGGUAAAAUAUAUGAAAUUAUCCUUAUUAAUUAUGUUUUAAAAAUUUUAAUUUAGCUAUUCAUAUUUUACUUAAUUACAUGAUAAUGAUAACAAUAAUAAUAAUAAUAGUGAUAAUAAUAAUAAUAAUAAUAAUGUAAAAAAAGUUAUAAAUCUUCCUCGACUUACUAAAGUAAAUAAGAAAGAAAAAUAAUUAGUUUUUAAUAUAAGAAAUAAGUAAAAAUGAAUAAGUAAUCUAAUACGGAACAAGAAGAGAUUUAUAAAAAAAGUAUACUAUGUAUAGUUCAAUUACAAAGUCUCAAAUAAGAAUAUUAUAAAAUAAUAAAUAAGUACAAAUGUGAGAAUAUGUAUGAAAAAUAAGUAAACAUGUGUUGCCAUUUAAUUGCAUUAAAAAGUUUGUGAGGAUUACAAAAAGGGUGAUCCUCCCUUAUAUAUAGUAAUAAUGUAUCAAGAUGAAAAGGAGAAGUUUGUGAUUUUAUGAAAUUUUUUAAAAGAUAAGAAAUUUUAUGUAUUUAUACCUCUUUAAGUUUGUGUUUUUAUGUAAUUUUUUCCUAAAUAAAUGGUAUAAAAAAGCUCAAUUCCUUAUAGUUAUUGACACCUUAUAGCCCAUAUUCAUACAUAAAAUUUAUUAAAUCAAGUAUUUUAUAGCCAAAUUGGGUUAUCUCAGAAUAAAAAGAAAAUAAUGUUAUCUCUUUCGACAGUCACAAUCAACUGUAUCUCAACAAAUGUUUUCCUAUUCUCUCAAAAUAUUUUGAUCUUUCUCCCAUUAUGAUCAUCUACUAGAUACUCUUUUAGGUUAUAAUUUUUAAUUAUAUUUUUUUGAAUUUUUUCAGAGUUCGGAUAUUGAAAUCAGAUAAUUUUCGAUUGGGUAAUGCUGAAUUUUCUUGAGCAUUGUCUUACAAAAUUGAAUAUUGAUUAUGGAUGUGUUUGACAUGAUUUUCAGAUUAAAAACUCGUCUUAUAUCUCUGUGUAUAUCACUUUCUAUAGCCGUCACUUUCUAUAUCCGUUUUAUCUCCUAUAUAUCAUGCAUAUUGAUAUACAUGUUUGUUCUAUUAAUGAUAAACUUGUAUACGUCUAUAUAUACUAUUCUCAAUAGAGGAGGAGGAGGAGGAGGAGGAGGAGGAGGGGGCAACUUACAAUUUCUUUUCUAAAAACUUGUAUGUGUCUAUAUAUACUAUUCUCAAGAACACCAGUGUUAACCACUCAUUAAAUAUUUUUAAUUAGUACUCCUUUCGUCCAUGUUUAUUGGUUUAUAUUUGAUUAACAAUUGCUUGAUAAGCAAUCAAUAUAAAUAAUUUUACCAUAUCACCCUUAAUAAUUAUAGGUCAUCUAAGGAUAAAAUAGAUAUAAAAUGAUAAAUCAUGUCUUUUCUAAAUUAAAUAAUUAAGAAUAAAUAUUUUUAGACGGAGUAAAAAUGGAAUGAGGGAGCACCAAUCAAGCAAAAAAUUUAGGAGUUUGGUAGGAUUUGACUGUUUUAUUGUCAAUCACGUUACAUGUCCCUUUCUCUAGGGUCGUCUAGCCAUAUCAUUACGGGAUUUCUUACAAAAAGAUCUAAAAGACAUAAAAAGCAAAAAAAAAAAAAACACUAUAGAUGGACAUAGAACAAAUUGAUAGAUGUGAUAGUUUGAGAUAAAAUAGAAUCAAAAGGAUUCACACGGAUCUUACAAGAACAUAUUAACCAGCCUGGCUAAUGCUUCGAGAAAAGCAAGUAAAUUCAUAUUUGCCCAAUUCUAAGAUUAAAUUACAAUUGGUUCACUGUAGAAGAAUAUCAUCUUCAGUCAUUUCAACACUAGUAUCAUCUAAAAUGUGGUUUCUAUACCAAAUUUUGCAUUCCAAAUUGCGUAAAAGUAACACAUUACAAGCCGAUCCGAACGCGAAAAUAGGUACUAAAAGAAAGCCUCAGGGGAAACCUCAAUAUCCUCUUGUUGUUUAUUUUGAAGCCAAAAGAUAGAGAGGUUAAUGAAAAAUCAUAAGCGCCUAUGGAACAAACAAAAAAAUUAUCAACAAAAGGAAGUAAAGAAUUGGCCAGAUUGACUAUAGAAGACUCAUCGCUUUAUCUUGAUCAGGUGCUGGUGCUGCCCAAUACAACUUGGUAGCAAUUAGAAGCUUUUCUCUAACAUGAGGACCGCCUUCGUGAUCAACCAUCCUGCUAUCCCAUUGUAGUCCGUCUACUAUGCUCUUCACGUUUACCAAAACAUCCACGUCGUCUCUGAAUAUCACACUGCCUUGCGGCCUUAAUACCCGGUCCAUUUCCAAUAAUAUAUCUUCCAUCUCACAUCUGCAAUGCAUAAAAUGAAAGUAAAUCAACGACCAAGAAAACAUGCAUGAUGCAACGUUUGAUAAACCUAAAAUCGGUUAAUUACCUGUCCUGGUAGAGAGUGAAGACUGAAUCAGCAUGUAUGAAGUCGUAAGUUCUUGGAUACGUAGACAUUGCUUCACACCUAAACAGGGAAGAGCAUCAUCAGUAACAAGCAGGAAACAGCAAAAUUGAAGCUUACACAGGAGCAGUGGGCUUACCAGCUUUGGUAUGUUCCAAUCAAACCACGUUCAUAGAUAACUCCAAGUGUAUUGACGUCAGCCUCAGCGGGCACAACAUUCAUGACCCAAACUGGAUCAUCAACAAGUGCAGCUGCAAAUCCUCCCAGCCACGCAUUCAUGUCUAGUAUGUUACGGUACCUUCCAAGUUCUGCUAAUUGACUGUCCAAGGACUUGUAGUGGGCGACUCUCUUCUUCCACAAUUCUGUAUCUUUAGAGAAGCCCUCUGCAGUGACUCCUUCUAUACUAGAACUAGCAAUCCUAGGAGGGACUGCAGUUAAUCUUUCCGGCCAAUUCACCAGUGGCCCUCCAGCGAUAUCUUUAAUGCUGGAAACUUCAGGAAGGGGACUCAAACAAGCAUCUAUCUUGGUGUACCUGGAAGAUAAAAGAGUCUUGGCUGUAAAUACAUUUAGGGAAUACUAACUAAUUCUACUCUUCAUUUGUGGAGAAGAGUUUUGAAUUCAUGAAGUUGGAUGCUUUUUCAUCAGGUACCGUAACUUUCUACACUAAGUUUGUCAAACAGUUUGGUACUACUGAAAAAAGUGUGGAAUGUAGGAUGACAAAAAAAAUAAGGUGUAGAAUAACAUAAACUAGUACGAAUGUGACACACGCUAUUGCUUUUUCUACAAAAAUGUAUUUAGCAAUUUUGUGAAAGAACAAUGCAUCAUCUGCUGCAAAAAUGUGGACAGGGGAAACAACAAGGAAGUCCUCUAAAGUAUAGCCUCGGUUGAAUUAUAAUCAUUUGAAAAUUACCAUGCUUUAUCGGGAUCUUGUUCCAGGCAAAAGGGUGGCUUCUUGAAGACCUUCCGGUUAAUUUUGCAGUGCACAUGAUUAGUAGGCUUCUGCCAAAUUGCUAGGUCACCUUUCUGAUUAACUUUCUUCCAGCACAGGCUUCUCGCAACACUCUCAAUUAGAUCUUGCUCUGCUUUCAGAUCGUCGGCGGUUCUGUUCCAGCCUCUCCAGUGAUCUUGCCAGUUAAUAGGUGGUCCAGAAAGAAUCCAAUAUCCACCAGGUCGUAAAAUUCGAUCAACCUCAAUUAAAUAUAGCCCAUCUGCUCCAUAUCAAAUGGAUAAAAAGUAAAAUACUAAUUAAAGGAUUGAUCUUCUUUCGCCAAGAAUGAGUACAAAAGCAAAGGUUAUGUCAUUUAGAUUACCAUAUUUUCCCCAAGGGAUGAGACAGCGAGAACAAUGUGCCAUGUCGAAUGCCCUUGCAGGGUAAGGUAGCCUAUUAGUAGCUAAUAUGCCAAUCAAUGCUGGAACUCCUCGCUCGAGAGCAAAUUGAACUUGAGCUUCAUGUGUGUCUUUGGGUGCAAAUGAAAUUGGAAGGAUGUCUCUGGAAAGCAAGUAAGCACCCCAACUAGCAACCUGAAGUUGUUUAAGGUAAAAUUAGCCUCAUACGACGAAGGAAAACAAAAGAAAAAGAAACCAACAGUCAAACAUGAUAGACCCAAAGAAAAUCCUGUGCAGCUGCACUAAUAGACUAGGGGCACGGUUAGUGGUGGAGCCAGGAUUUUCGCUGAAGAAAUUCAAAACAUAAAAAGUAAACACGGAAAAGCCAAAGACUUUGUAUGUACAAUUUAAUUUUUAUGAUGAAAGAGGUUCGGAUGGACCCCCUUGCUUCCCUAGCCGUUAAUUGUUCAUAUGGCGACUAACACAACAACAACAACAACAUACCCAGUAUAUUCCCACCAAGUGGGGUCUGGGGAGGGUAAGUGUACGCAGUCCAUACCAUUACCUCAAUUGUAAGAUAGAGAGGCUGUUUCCGAUAGACCCCCGGAUUAAAAUAUAGCAAUCUAAGAUAAAAUAAGGAAUAGUCAUAGAACAAAAUACAAUUGAAAUUAAAAUAUACAAUAAUACCAAAAUCAAGAUACUCCAAGUAUACACCAAAACACACACCAUCCUAACUCAGACUAACCUUCUACCCUAAUUCGCCUCCUCCACAACUUCCUAUGGCGACUAAAACAGGAUAUAUUUCAUGAGCAUAAAUUGUAAUGUAGAAAAUUUUGCUCAAAAUUUGGAUCCUGGUAAUGCAAAUUUUUAGAAUUCAGUUCAACCAGAAUAUAAGUUAUUUAUGGAUCACUCUACUGAAAUAGUUAGUGGGCAUCCAAUCUGAGACUGUGUACUGUGUAUUUCUUAAUAAGCACACUUUGCUUAUAUAAAUUUAAUGAAACUUUUUAGAAUUACUUGUUUCUUUCAAUAAAAUUGUAAUCAAGACCCAGAAAUGGCGGAAAAUUAAAGUUCAAACAACAUUGCCUAAGCAAUUAAAAAGUUUCUAUAUAAGUUGCAUCAAAAUAUUAAAUUCAUAAUAGGAUUACACUAUAAAUGUGAAAGGCAUAAUAAGUUUUUCUUCCAUUGCAAGUUAAAUCUUGAACUGAUUAGUUUAUGCUUCUAUUUUGGCAAAUCAACAAAACACAUUCUUUAUGUGCAAUUGAAGGAAACACACAUUUUUGGCUUCAACCAAUUGUGGAUUCUACAAAGUUACCUAAACCAAAUUACCAAACUCUUUUAUUCAAAUCAAGUAAACCAAAUUACUACCAACCUUUUACAGUAAGUCCAAUAAUAUCAACUCUAGGAAUGAAAAUCCCACACGAAAUGCAUCACAAAAAUUCUUGCAAUCAUCUUGUUCAACUACCCCCCCCACCCACCCACCCACUUCAACCAACUAUCUAGGGACCUCUUUUAUAUGAACUCUCCAUUAAAUUAAUAUUUUCUUUUAUUGGGAAAAUAAUAAAGUCAAAUUUAUGAAAUUCAUUUUCUCUUUUAACUUGAAAGUACCUAGUUUUUGACAACUUCCUAACCAAUACGUUGGAAGAUCGAAAACCCAUGUGCAUUGCCAAAAAACUUACCUGUUUUAUUCUUAUUUCUCUUUAAAAAGUCAAAGCUUCAAAAAGAAAUGUAUGCAAUGAACUACUUUAUCGGAACAAUACCAUGAAACCCAAUAUUAUAAAAAUAUCGAAUGUAAAUUUUCAACCUUUAUUUAAUUAGUUAAUAAAAGGAGAAAUAUUAAUAGCAUAAUUUGACUAGGAUGUAUAGAUUUUCACCAAAUAGUCUGAUAAUUAGUAACCACAUUUAGACAAAAUUAUGUAUCUCUAAUAGUAAAAAUUUUAAAUGUUAAUUUACAACAGGGUUAGCUUGCACAAUACUAUUCUCAAGCUGCACAAAGAGGAGGAUUGACAACAACUGCUAAAACUAAUUCCUGUACCAAAACAUUUUAUUUCAUUUUAUGAAAAUUAAUUUAACUCUCUUUUAAAGUUAACUUAAGUUAAAUUAAUUUAAUAUUUUAAAUUUUAAAUAUAAAUUUUCAAAACAUAAAGUACUACAUAAGUUAUCAUCUUCCUCGUAUCAAUAUAGUAAUAAAAAUGACCUUAAAAUAUUGGUUGAAAACCAGUUAAUUUGACUGUGAAAAAUUAAAAUGUGACAAUUAAGACGUACUUCUGUUUAUCCGUCUCAAAAAAAAUAUUAUCUUUUUUUUUUAAUAACUAUUUAAUUAAAUGGUAUCAUCUUUAUUUUAUUUUUACUAAGUCUCACUUAAUUAAAAAAACAACUAAAAAGUAUAAAUAUUAACGAUAAUUUUCUAAAUUUAAUAAAAUUAUCAUUUAUUUUUUAAAUUUUGCGUGCGACCACAUAUAAAAUGGGAUGAGGAAAGUAUUUUUUUGAAAAAUAAGUGUGUCCAAGAAACAAGUCGUCAACUUUAGAAGCAAACAAGUAAGAAAACUCCAAAUGAAUUUAAUUAAUUAAUAAAAGACGUACCCCACAACCGGUAUCAAUGGCGGUUCUAAUAGAACCAUCUUUAAGGUUGAUCAAUUUUCCGAUAUCAUCAAUAUACGCUUUAGCGCCACGUGGAAACAUUGUCCCUCCGCCGGGGAACGUGAACCGGUCACCCUUGAACCGGACCCAAUUCUGACCGGCUUUUUCAACCGUCAGAUGUUUAUGCGGGACAUUAGCAUACCAUACAGAGUCCCUACUUUCCGGCCACUGGAACGGCGAUUUGUACCCAAAAGGCGCCGGAAUCCUGCACUUCAACAACUCGUUCUUCGCCGGACAGUGGCGUUCUCUGUAAAUAAGCAUGUUCCUAUCGAAUUUGAGUGACCUUUUUGAGUCUUCACAAGGGGUGUAUUCGGAGAGCUUGGGGUUGCAGGAAGGGAAGUGGGUUACACGCGCCGAUGGUGAGAGUGGGGUAAGGGAAUCCGCGGUGUGUUUGGCGGUGAAGUCGAUGGAAAUUGAAUUGGGAUUUUUUGUUUUUGUGUUUUUGAUUGAUGGGCUGUUGUUGCUGUUGCAUGGGAUGGUGGUGGUGGUGGUGGUUGAGGAUAACUGAUGGGUGUUGAUAUCAGUAGUUUGUGGCCAAAGUCCGAUGACAUAGAAAGUGCAACAAAGAACAAUGGUGGCAGCCACGUAGUAAAGAUUAGCUUUCUUGAAUUUUGAUGCAAGGUAGUAUGACAAAUUGGCCCAUAUCGCCAUUGCCACACAAAAUUUAAAAAAAAUAAAAAGUUGAUGAACUAUGAGUUUGUUAUAUGAAUUUUAAUUUUGUAGAUAGAAAAAGAGCUGUGUGUUUGUGAGUAACGAAUGUAAUGAAAUUUAUUGGGGAGAGGUGCUGACGCGCCGAAGGCUCCCUCGUGAGUAAACUAAAUUGAAGAGAGGGAGGGAGGGAGGGAAAAUGAAGAAGACGAAAAGGCUACAAGGAAGGGGGAGUAUAUUUAUGGAGAAGAAUUUAUAUUUAUUUUUGUUUUUAUGUUAUGAAAGUUGAAAGGUGUGUAAGAGUUUAGAGUUUCUUUUAUCUUUUUCCCUUUUCCAAAUACAUUUUCCAUAGUUAAAAAUUCUACUUUCAAAAAGAUUUUUAACUCGAUCUUGUUUGAUGCUUGAAAUUUGUUAACUCGAUUAACUCAAAUUAGCAUCAUGAAAAUGUCAUAGUUGAAAUUUGGCGCUCUGAAUUCGAAGAUAAUUACGUUACAUCAUGAAAUUUGAAAUUUCUAGCAAAGAAUAAAAGAAAUUUUCAUCGAAUCAUUAAUUUUUUAAAUAAUAAUAAUAAAAAGGUUAGGAUUUGAAAUUGCAUCAACUAAUGGUCAAAAUUUCAAUCUACUAAUUCAAACUUUAAAUUUUCUAACAACAUACAAAAAUAAUGAGUUAUAACCUUUAAUAAUUAUAUAUGCUUAAGAUCCAUUAAACUAGUUAAAGAAAAUUUUCUGUUUGAUUACAAACAGGAGUAAAUUGUGUAACUAUUAUGAAAAAGGGAAAUUUCCCUAUUUAUCAUAUGAAGUUGUCAAUUUGAAACACAAUGAAUAGACUGGACGUAAAUAUCAGUCCAUGAAAGAAUGUCAAGGCAGUGACAGAUGAUAAAUGUUCAAUUGUUUUUAAUUAAUUAAAAUUUAAAUUAGACAAAUUCAAAAAUAAACACAACAACGUGUGAGGAAAAAAAAUAUGAAAACAAACAGACAACAGAAGAAUUAAUUUGACGUAAUAGAAUUCGAACAGAACGAGAUAAUGUAAAUAGCUAAACAAUGAAUGUGGCAAGGCACUAAUAAAGGAUGUGGUACAGUGAAUGAGACUGCUAUUUUCUUAAUCAAAGGCCUUGAAUUUGAGUAUGAAAAAAUUCUUGGUAGAUAGUGCUGCUCCCGAAUGGAACUCUAUCCGGUACAAAUUCAAAUUAAUCGAACUCCAAUACGAAUAUCAAACACCAAAUGAGAAAUCAAAAAAACAUAUGACAAAGCAAAAUAUUUAUAUGACCCUAUUUAAAAAGUUUCUGUGUAUUUCUUUUUCCACUAGAUACUUUAACAUGAGUAUAAGAAACAAUUUUAUAUUCUCACGUUUGUUUUUGCUUUUGCUCUCAUACGCAAGGUACCUAUUACACCCAAUUUUUAAAUUAUCAUAAUUAAAUUUUAUUUCUCAUUGAGUAAUAGGUACUCGAUAUAGGAUUUGACUAAUUCAGGUAUAGGUACGCGUCGAAAAGUUUCACUUUUGAGCGUAAAGCAUUUAUUAUUAUCGAUAAAUUCAUAUUUAAAGCUCAAAUUCAAAAGUCUCUAAUUAAGAAUAAAGAAAUACUUACUACUCUUUCAGUAACUCUAUGUAUAAUUGUCUUGUGCAUUUAUAUAUUAUUUACUUUUAGAUCUUACUGUCAGUAUAAAUUAUGGAGAGAUGGUCGAAAUCUCUCGACCGGUAAAUAGAGAUUUCAUGUUCGAGGUCUUAGGAUGAAAUUUUGCCCUCACAAAUGAAUCAUUCAAUGCAUGGUUUAAAAUUAGUCAUUGGACCUCAAUAUAAAUAUCGAAGGAAAUAAACUUACUGUGAUUUGAGUAUUGAUCAUGUUUUUAUGAGACAAAAUUAAUCAAAAGUGAAAUGACCCAAAUUAAGCUUGCUAGUAAGUGAUAAUCUUUUCUCAAAGCUUAUGCCUCAACUAAUUUGAACAAAUAAACAUCUUCUCCAUUAUAUCUCAAUAAUUUUUUAAAAUGCUAAUUUCACCCUCUAAUUUAUGAAUGCCUUUUUUUUCUUUUACGUUUUUAAUUUCGUAAUAGAAUUUUUUUUCUCUUUGGUAAUCUAUGUCAUGAAUUUACUAUAAAAUAAAUAAAUUGUUUUUGAAUAAGUACCUAAAAGAUUAUCUAUUUCUAUAUUAAAUAGGCUAGAAAUUUUAAUUUAAAUAAAAGUUAUAAACUAUAAUUUAAUAAGUAUUUCAUUAAUGACAAUCAAAAUUCAAAUUAAACAAUAUACAAUGAAAAAUAAAAGAAAAAAUAGAACUUAAAUGUAGACACAGAGCGAAGGAAAAAAAGAUAUAUAGUUGAACAUGAUGGAUAAUGAUAUAUAACUAAUAGUAGUAUAAGAAUAUAUUACAAGUUAUAAAUAUACCACAUAGCGAAUGCCUAUUCUACUAUAUAUAGUGAAUACCUACUUUAUCAUUUAUUAUGUAUGUUUAUUUAUAGAAAAGUUACAAACCCAAGGUUAAUUUUCCCUUAUAAGUAAAGGGGUUUUGCUUUAUUAUAAUUCAUCCCUCAAGAGAAAUAAGAAUUACUCUCUAUUCUUUAUUCUUCUUUUUCUUUGCUUUAUGUUUUAUAACACGUUAUCAGUACGAGGUUCUACCAAACAAGAUGAAUCCAUUCCAACCUCAAGAAAAGAAUGAAGAACUCCUUGGUUAUGAAGUACCAUAUCUUAGUGCAAUUGAUGCACCAAUGUAUCUUGCAAAUACUAUAGGCCUGAUAUAACCUUUUUCAGUUAAUUUGUUAGCAAGUCUGCAGUCCCAAUCUUAUUGAUCAUGUUGAUGUUGGGUACUUAUCUGACCUACAUAGAGCUCGGUCUCAAAUAGGCUAUAUGUUCAUAUGUGGUGGUACUAUCAUUUCUUGGAGAUCAACAAAGCAGUCUAUCGUAGCCACUUCAUCGAAUCACGCUGAGAUUAUAGCUAUUCACGAAGCAAGCCGAGAGUGUGUGUGGUUGAGGUCCAUAAUAAAUCUCAUUCGAGAAAAAUAUGGCUUGAAAUGUGACAAAGUACCCACGAUUUUAUAUGGAGAUAAUGCCGCAUGCAUAGAACAACUUAAGGGAGGAUUCAUAAAAGGAGAUAGAACGAAGCACACCUCAUCAAAGCUUUUCUACAUGCAUGAGCUCUAAAAGAAUGGUGAAAGUUACAUGAAACAAAUUCGUUCAAGUGACAAUAUGAUUGAUUUAUUCACCAAGUCUCCUACAAUUACAACUUUCACCAAGUCUCCUCCAAUUACAACUUUCAAGAAGAUGGUGCACAAGAUCGGGAUGCAAAGGUCCAAGGAUGUUCUCAUUAGGGGGGAGUUAAUACGCGUUGUACUCUUUUUUCCUUAUGAGGUUUUGUCCCACUAGAUUUUCCUUGUAAGGUUUUUAAUGAGACAGCUUAUAUGAGUAUUGUUAGAGAUGUGUAUUCUUUUUCCUUCAUUAGAUUUUUUUCCCACUAAAUUUUUUCUAUUAAGGUUUUAACGAGGCAUAUUAUCUAUCAAUUAAACAUUUAAGGGGAAUGUUAUAAAUGUACCAUAUAUAGUAAUGUCUACUUUACCAUAUAUAGUGAAUACCUACUUUAUCAUUUAUUGUGUAUGUUUAUUUAUGGAAAAGUUACGACCUCCAAGGUUAGUUUUCGACCUCCAAGGUUAGUUUUUCCCUAUAAGUAAAGAGGUUUUGCUUCAUUAUAAUUCAUCCAUAAAGAGAAAUAAGAAUUACUCUCUAUUCUCUAUUCUUCUUCUUUGCUUUAUGUUUUAUAACAUUACAUAAAUAGUUCAACAAAGACAAAAUAGGCAUUAUUUAAGAUAGAUGAAAGGAUUGUGAGACUGGAGGAAGAAUUUAAUUUCUAAAAUUAAAUUUAAAUGAUUUCACAAUAAGCACACAAUUCCUAAAAGCUUGUAGUACUUAAUAAAAUUAUUUUAUUAAUUUUUUUUGGGUGCUGAACUUAAUAAGCUUGUUGGUACAGUAGGAAUUAAAGUAUUUUUCCAGAAACGGCACUGUACUACAAAUUCAAUACGAUCAGAUUUAUUCUGACCAGUAAAUGGUAGCAGUAAUAAUUGCAAUAAUCUGAUUUCAAACUUUUCUCCAGAUCCAAAGUAUGGUACUUCCUUAGUUCCACAAUAAAUUAAUUAUUAAAUUUUGAUACACAUAUUAAAAAAAAAAUAUAUAUAUAAAUUUAUCAUCUUUUUCAUUUUUAUCCUAUUCAAAUUUCAAAACCUUAAAAAUGAUACAUCACUCCCAAUGCACAUUUAAUAAAGGGUAAAUUUAGAAAAAUCUCCAACGUCUACCUUGAAUUAUGAACUAUUGACUUAUUUUGAACACUAAAAAAUACCCCAAUAAUUCACUUACUGUGGAACAAAGGAAGUAUUUAUUAGCUUGUCCAUCCAAUUAUUUUCAUUUCUAUUGAAAAAAAUGAAACAAAGUUUGAUAAUAUAUCUGUCGCAAGCUAGUUACACAUGUCUUAUCUAGUGUGGUUUACAUCUCUUGUGUGUUUUGUGAGUCAUUGCACAGUAAGAGAUCGUUUGGUAGAAUGCAUUGGAAUGUUAAUACAUAUAUUAAUUUAAUGUGUAUUAGUAGUACCUUGUUUGGUAUACCUUUUUAUCCUAUAUAUACCUAAUGCAAGCAUUAGCUAUACACUCUAUUGUGUAUUGAGGUAUAUAUUACUAAUACCUCAAAAUUCAUGACAUUAGUAAUGCAGUGGAUCUAAUGCAUGCAUUAACAUGCUUAAAGACCCUAUUACCUCUCAAAAAAAUUUCCGCAUCCUUGCCAACAUAUAUAUUGAGAGUAUAAUGCAAAAAAAAUAAAAAAAAUUAGAAAUUAUAUAAUUCAUGUUUUUUUAAUGCAUCAACCAAACAUACAAAAGAAAAAUACAACCAUAACUAACGCUAACACUACUAAUACAAACAUUACCAAUACACUAUAUUUUACGUUAUUCACAUACACUCUACCAAAUGACCCCUAAGUAAAUUACCACAAAAUGCUUAACAGACUGACAGAUUGUGAGUUUUUUGAAAUUUCAAACAAACAAAAAAAUGGGUGACUUUAACAAAUUUUACAAGUGUAUUUAAUUUUCCCUUAAAAAAUCACAGUGAAUGCUUCAGACGUCUUGUUUUAUUUCUUACCCUCUAUUUUGGUAAAGAACAAAAAUACCACUGAUAAAUACAGACUUUGUUUAUUACUAGUAUUAUUAUAAUCGUAGUAGUUCCAAUGGCAAAAAUUUACAGUUCUGACGAGUUCGAAGGGGGGGAGGGGAGAGAAAAAAACUUAUAACAGGUGGGUUUUUUUUUUCUCUAGUAAAAGUAUUUCCUCAUAUUAUGUGGCACUUAAUUUUAUGUCUCUCCUUAUAUAAAUAUUUCAUCCGUCUCAUUUUAUGUGAUAUAAUUUGAUUGAGAUAAAAUUUAAGAAAUAAAAAAAAAAUUAGUGAUAUUUAUCAAAAUUGUCCUUUUUUUAAAUAUGUCACCAUCUUUUUUUAAUUAAGUGGGACUAUUAAGAAUAAAAAAAAAUUUAUAUUUUUAAAUAGUUAUCGAAUAGAAAAUAAUAUUUCUUUUUUAAACUAACCACAAAAAAUAAUGGCACAUCAAAUGAAAUGGUGGGAGCAUUUUUAUGAGUUCGAUAUAAGCAAAUGAAACAAGUAGUCAGAAGCGAAGCCAGAAUUUCAAAUAAAGAGGGUUAAUAUUUAAAGAAAAUUAAGUCGAAAGAGGUUCAACACCUACUAUAACUAUAUAAAAAAUAAUUUUAAUUAUGUAUACAUAGUAUAUUUUUUUGUCGAAAGGGGUUUGGACGAACUCCUUAAAGAGGGUUGGCUCCGCCUAUGCAAGUAGUGGCUAUGCAUGAAGGUCCACGUUACAAAUUAAAGACAUGCACCUUUCUUUACU